rnacentral:misc_RNA from 1 species
AGGUACCUGCCCUCGGUGGGUGAGGGCGGCCCCGCUCCGGGUUCGCUCCGGUGCGAAACGCAGCGCCGCUCUGGGUUCGCUCCGGUGUGAAAUGCGGCCGCGAGCGGGGUCCCCUCCCCCGCCGAACAACUACAAACCCACCGUGCACCUUUCGCGGCAGAGGGCGCGGCGCGAGCCCGCCCGAAACCGCGGUCUCACAGACUCGUCUCAGAAUGUCUCGCGGACUCGUUCCGCCCAUAAACGUAA